rnacentral:rRNA from 1 species
AUGAUUGAUGAGAUAAUUGGUUUAGCUGCUUUCGGAAGAGGCGACGGGAAUCAUAAAAACCACGAUGGCUAUGGAGAUUCAACAUAUAGAAAGAUGGAAGAGAUCCUCUAUUCUUGUUCUCUGUGCGCCGGAUCUGUUGCUGCGGCCCUCGAUCUGUUCGUCCACUGCGGGUGCUCGUGCUUCUGGUCGAUUCGUCCUGCUACGUCGGUCAUCGUUCUGCGGUGCACGGAGGGAACUCUUCUCCACCAUGCUGAUGACAGGAAGGGGGAAAAUCCAGUCCGUGGUGCCACCAAUGAACAAGGUGAUGCAAAUCAAUAUCUUGCUUUGUCUAUGCUAUGA